AUAGGCAUCUUUUCAUUCCACCUAUUAGUAUCUCUUGGUUUUUCCUUCUUCCUCAGCCUUACGGUUUCUGUUUGCAGAUGAGAUUUCCUCCGAUGUCUUUCCUUACGGGGAUUCUGUCCUCGGAUCUGCUCGCAUCGGUUCAACAUCUCCUCUUUGCUUUCUGAUGUUGUACUAUGAAAGGAGUAGCGUUGUUGGAGCUAUGGUUUUAAAGGCCUUUGCUGGGAAAGGAAGCAAAGAUUGGCAGGGUUCAAGUUCUUGCGGCUUUUUAAGGAUGGUCUCAUCAAGGGCUGAGAUUUAUACGCUCUUCAGAUGUAAGUUGAAAAUAAACAAGACAUCUGAUUGUGUGAAACGGCGACGUGAGAUUGAAUCGGCUGGUUUGUUUAUGAAAGGAUGUGUAAGAUGUCAGGGCAAAAAGUCCUACUGAUAAUAUGUUUAUUGAAGGGGACUGUGUCCUGAUCUAUCUUUGUCGUCCGAGACCUUUGCCAUGACAGGUGCGCUUGCAUGGCAGGUCACCCAAACUUAAUAAAAAUUGAACUUUUUUGUGGUGUUUUUUGAGGGGAGAUCGCACGGGGGUUUGCCCGGGUUCUCCCUUCUGCUGUGGUGUCUCGUAUCGUGUCUUCUCUUCUUUUUUCUUCUCUUUCCCUUGCUCUCUUUCCAUUAUUUUGCAUCAUACGGGAUGGAUGUAUGAUCCAACAUCAUCACCAACGUCGGAAUAAGCUCAUGAACUCCAAGCUAUACCACUAGCGACUCUCAAGGCCAAGGUAUUAUUUUUCCAUAUUUAACACCCAAUCCGCCUUAUCUAUUCUACUUCAAAAUUUAAUUAUAAAUUUUAUUAUCAUUCAAUUAGUUAACUUGACAAAAGUCAAUAAAUCGUGUUAAUUAGAUUUUAACAUAUUUUUAAAGGGUUUAAUCUUUUAUAUUAAUAAUUGAUCUUAGAUUUAAUACAUUUUUGAAAAAAGAGGUAAUUUUAUUCGAAUUCCUGUAACUUAACUAUUAAUUUAUUCCUUGCCGUUUCUUGAAAAAGAGCAUGAUGGAUUUUGAAGUUAUCAUUGAUAAUUGUUUAUUAACUUUCAGUCUUAGAAAAACUUAAUUUUAAAUUGAAUUAUUUGAUUUUAGUAAAUAAUAUUUUAACUUUUAGUAAUUAGCCUAAAAUGAUUUUCUUUGAAAUUAAUUUUUUAUUAGAGGAUAUAACUUAAAAUCCAGUUUAAAGCAGAAUAAUUUUAUUAACAUCGGGGCUAAUUAAAAUAAUUGUAGGAAGUAGUCAGUUUUACUUGCAUCUUCAUUGAUAAUGAAACUUGGUAAACAGUCUCUAAAAUGAAGUUUAAAAGUUGCAUAACUGUGAAAUUUGCAAUAUGAUCCAUUAAUUUUAAUCCAUGGAAGAUUAGAUUAAUAGAGCAAUCAUCGUUUCAUUUAGCUGUUUUAUACAUGACCAUUAUAUGAUCCAUUAAUUUUAAUCCAUGGAAGAUUAGAUUAUUAGAGCAAUCAUCGUUUCAUAUAGCUGUUUUAUACAUGACCAUUAAUCAGAUUCUCAUGGCAGAUUUUAAUUAAUGUUGGUUUUAAUAAAUAUUUAAAAUCUUGACUCAAGUUUCGUUGGAUAUUAUUAAUGAAUUUUAAAAAAAAAUGUUAUUAGAUAUUAUUAAUAUAUAGAUAAAAGUAUUAAUUUUCUGAUAAAAUUUUAUUCGAAUUUAAUUUGAACAUUUAAGAGUCGAUUUGCAUCAUAACUAUUAUUAUACCAAUUUCAUCCACACGGUUUAUUGAAUUGUUUGAAUGCUCUUGAAUAGCCUAUGCUCCCUUUUCGUUUGUUAUUUACAUUUUCAUGUUACUUUAUUUGAGGCGAAAUGCGUUAAUUUUGCUACUACUUUUAUGAAACUGUAAUACUUAGGAGAAUGUCAUAUGUAGGUUGAUGCAGCAUAUGUACUUUGCUUGUAUAUUGCAUUUGGUAGUUGUUUAGGCCCUUGCACGGGCUUGUGUUUAAUUGGCUUGAAGGUUGUGAAUACUAUCUGUUGGUCCAGUGAAGAUGACACGGCAGUGAGGUUAAUGAUGUUGGAGGUAUUUUUUGGUUUAUGCCAUAUCUAUUCUCUUUGAUUAACUCUGGAAAUCAAGAUAUGUGCGUUGAAGUGUUCGCCUCUAGUUCGGUCGACAUUCUUGAUCUAUGUUUGAAUCCCUUGGGAGUUGGAACCGAGCUUCGGAGACGGUGAAUAUAGUAAUCCAUGGCGUUGCAGGUCAAUUCUCUGGAGAUAUUUCAAUCAGAAUCGAGUUGUUGAAGCAUUGAAGUCAUUAUUUGAACCUCUUGGUUUUUUAUAUGAUGCAGUGCUGUAGUGAGAUUAGUAUUGAAGAGCUCUUGAUCAAAUACCACAAGAGGUACAUGUAGAUUGGCCGUGUAAACCAGUUCCAUUACAUAGUGAAGAUUUUUAAAGUGGACUAAGGUCCCGUGGUUUUUUCCCCUCAAGGGGUUUUCCACGUAAAUUUUGGUGCCCCCUUUUUCUGUUUAUGUUGCGCACUUAUGUCAAUAUCUUUUGCAGUUUUGAUAAUGUUCCUUUAGCAGGUAUGAUAACUGUGAGCCGUUUAAUUUAUCAGUAAAUUACUCUAUUUAUUACUGUGGUGUCCUGUUUCUUCAACUGUGUAGGAUUGCUAAAAUCUAGAUUGCAGGUUGAAGGGUGGAUUAAAGGCUGAAACGGGAAUUUGGCUCUUGGUAACUAAAAUUAGAUUGCAGGCUGAAGGGUGGAUUUAAGCUCAGAAGUUUUUUAUUUUGAAAAAUUCAUUUUAUAAAUAAACUUGUUGACAUUAUACAGUUUUGAUUAUGUAUAUGAAACAAAAUCCAUUUUUUUAGUUUAUUAUUUAGAAUAUUUCUUAGUUUUUAAAUUUUCAUUCAUUUUUUUAAAAUGAGAAUUUUAUAGAUUGAAAACGCAAGAAACAUAAAUAAAUUGAGUAUUAGCGGAUAAAUAUGUUGUACGGUAUCUAGAAAGCAUAUGUGAAAACCUUUUCGUUCCUUUAGCCGAUUAGCAAGUGUUUUUUUCCCCAAAAGAUUACAAGCAAGUUUCAUGGGCGAUUUGAGGGUCUAAAAAAUGGGGCUUGUUUUCAAUUAUACAUAUAUCACGAUUAUUUAUCAAAAUAGAUGUUUUUGUACGGUUGAGGUCGGCUCUUUGGUGUCGGUUUUUGAAGGUGUCUUUAACUUCACGAAUUGGAAAGAUCUGUAAGCUCAAAAUGGCAGAGCGCUCAAUCCUGUAAGAGGAUUGAGAGGUUGGUGGUUCAAAUCCAUCCAGAUCCAAAACUUAAUUUUGAAUUUUGCUUUUACUUUGGGUUACUAAAACAUUCAUCUCUUCAAUAUGGCAGUUGCAAGAGACGAUGAGAUGAUGCAAAAGGAUAUGCUUAACCAAAUCUGGAUGAUACAGUGAGGAGAAAGCUUGCGUUCCACUAUUUAUCAAGAACGAGUUAAAAAUCGAGGGAAAGAGAGCUGCUGAAUAGUCCCUGAACUUUUGUCAUUGCUGCAGUUUAGCUUGAUAGCUUUUGGUGGAAAAUUGGGUGAUCGGAUCAACUUGGAGAAAUCACACUAUCCGAGGACGUUUUGGUAGAUUUUGAAUACAAACUUUGGCUUAUAUGACAUGUACUAGGAGAAUUUGAAUAUGUUUUGUAAUAGUUUGUAGAUACUCGUAUUAUAAAAAUGAUGUGCAUAUGAUGUUGUUGUGUAAACUUAUUAUGUAAUGUAUACAUGCAUGAGUACUAAGUUAUGGUACAUGUGAAAGGACUUGAAUGUGAAGGAGAUAUGGUAAGUUUAGCAUGAA